rnacentral:rRNA from 1 species
AGAGUGAACGCUGGCGGUAGGCCUAACACAUGCAAGUCGAACGGCAGCACAGGAGAGCUUGCUCUCUGGGUGGCGAGUGGCGGACGGGUGAGGAAUACAUCGGAAUCUACCUUUUCGUGGGGGAUAACGUAGGGAAACUUACGCUAAUACCGCAUAAGACCUUCGGGUGAAAGCCGGGGACCUUCGGGCCUGGCGCGGAUAGAUGAGCCGAUGUCGGAUUAGCUUGUUGGCGGGGUAAAAGCCCACCAAGGCGACGAUCCGUAGCUGGUCUGAGAGGAUGAUCAGCCACACUGGAACUGAGACACGGUCCAGACUCCGUACGGGGAGCGAGCAGGUAGGGGGAAUUAGUUAGGGAACUAAAGU